GUGGGCAUAAAACCUGAUCUUCCCACAUUUCCCAUCAAGAUGUUCUAUUGAGUAUGGGCUCUGAUCACAGUCUCUGGCCAUUGUGAUCACACCUGAACAGAGACGGUGGCUGCCUUCUCAACAGUUGCCCAGAGAUCUGAGUCCAUGAUUAAGCCAGCCCCAUUGCUCUGGGCCUGAGAUAAGCAGAACAAAAUGGUGGAAGGAUGUGAGGCCAGGAAAGUGCUCAAGUCAUGGCAGCCAGGAAGCAGAGGAAGACAAGAAGGGCUAGGCAUGCAUAUAGUUCUGAAGACCACACACCCAGUGACCUACUUCCUCCAGUCAUGCCCCAUCUUCCCAUGGUUACCAACCAGUUGUCCGUUCAAAUUAUUGAUCCAUUAAGUGAAUUAAUCCACUGGGAAGUGGCAGCCCUAGUCAUUGCUUAAAAGCUCCAUCUCUAAGCAUGGCUGCAUUGAGGGUCAUGUUUUCAAACAUGAGUUGGGGGAGGGCAUCCCAAAUCCAAACCAUAACAGCUGUUGAUAAUCUACUUUUGGCAAGUAAACUCUCACCAGAUAGAAGCCAUUCUCCAAGCUUAGUCCUUAUUCAUGCCUGAUUAAUUUAACUGCAGUUACCAUUAAACUUAUUUUUUCAUAAUAAAAGACCUUAACUGGAACUUAGCAAAGUCCUCAUUGGCACCUGCCUUUAUAACCAUAUCACCCUUACCUGAAAGCCUCUUCUUGAAACUCUAUAGCAUUGGAAAAUUUACUGUGCUACAAAUUUUUUUUUCUUUAAUUAAGUCACAGUCUCUCCAAUGUUCGGUGUAAGUCUAUGAAAGUCAUCUUUAGUCAAAUUAUGAUUUUCUAAGCAUACCACUUAUUCUAGGUCAGUUCAGAUGUGCGUUCAAACUGAUUCUGUCAAGAAGGAUUCAAAGAUUGACGUUUAGUUCUUAUUAACCAGAAAGGCAACUGACAUCUUCUUUUCCACAAGGCUUGGAGAUGAAAGGGGCCCAGCAACAUUCAGUAAUGCUUGGUUGUGUCAUUAGUGUUUCUCUCAUUAUCAGUGCAAAGGGGAAAGUGAAUAUGUUGUAUUUAUUGCACCCUUGUCUAUGUCUUUGACCUGUCCUGGGAAUGCCAAUCACCCAGUCACUCUUUGUUUUGUAAAAAGAAAUCCAAGAUACAAGAAGAAAGAGGAAGAAUUUCACCUAAGAAUGAUGGCCCAGAUUAGUCUGUAGGCAAAGUGAGCUAGCAGAAUUAGACCUUUCUCUGUUUCCUGAUCGGAUCUCCUGGUGUAUAUUGUUUGUAUGAGAAGGUUAUCUAUAUUACAUGAUUUAAAAGAUUCCAAAUGCCUUAAAUUACCUGAAUAUUGACUUUCUUAUGAUCAAUAUUGUCCUCUCCCAGUGAUCUUCAAAAGGCAAAUAUGCCCAGGUGUACCAUAUUAAACCCCCAACUUUUUAAAAGGUAAAUUCCCUGAGGAAAAAGGGAGGAAAGGAAAGAAAGAAGAAACACCCUGGAAAAGGUUCAACUUCAGAGAUCAGGUAGAAGAGUUGUAGCAGAGGGGAAAGGAUGCUAUGAGCAGAGAGAAAUUUCCAGAAAGGUAAGGCAGGAAACGGAGGAGAUGGGAAACCACUCUAUGGUUUCACCUCUGGGCUGCCCCCUGGAUAGAAUCUGGAAUUGUGGGUUAUUUUCAAGAGCCAGAUCUGCCACAUACAUAUCUGAAUAAUUUUGUGCCUGUGGCUGAUGUGACUUCUCAUAGUCUCUGAUGGCCCUGUCAUCAAGACAGCUGAGAGUGACAGUCUUAGGACACUUGGUUGCCAAAUCUACUCUAAGGACAUUAUUGAGGACAUAUUCCUCACGGUUUUAGCACGAGGAGUGACCACAUUUCUCAGAGCAGCUGUUCUUUACUUUGUGGACUCAGAACCAUGGUGCUGAGCAAGAUUCUCACAGUAGAUGCUGUAAUGGCCCUCAAGAUCCUCUGUACCGGGUCCAGAGCUCCCACUGGUUGCUGUGACUAUUGCCUCCUGGUGGCUCCCAGCUGCCCGCUUCUCCCAGGAAGAUGUACCUUCUGCUGACCUGACUGCUUUGCCCUGGGGCCACAACCCUUCUAAAGGCAGCCCACGGUCAGUGACUGAUUUGCAGCGUGAGGUACAAAAGACCCGUUGCCUAAAUGGAGAAACGACGAUGGACUCUAGCUUCAGAGCCGCCUCCUCUGAGUUUGUUUUCUAGAGGCUGGUCUUGAACUAAAACCUCGUUUGGCUCUUUGUCUUUCUCUCUUCUAUUUCAGACCCUCUUUUACAGGCUUUUUCAGAAGGCCAUACAUUGUAUUAACUUACUAUGGUUUAGACAGGGUUUGAGCGUAUACCCAAGAGGUUCAUAUGCUAGGAGGUUGGUCCUCAGUGUGGCAAUGUGGGGUUGUGGGGAGUGCCUAGAGAGAGGUCACAAGACCGGUGCCUUCCCAAAUAAGAAGCUCUUUCUUCUUAUCUCUCCUUGUGCACUCUCCUCUUACAUGCACUCUGGCCACUGUGAUGACAUCUGCACUGAGGCCUUCACCAGAGCUGAGCAAAAGUGGGCUGCACAUCUUGGAACCUCGAGAACUGUGACCUAAAUAAACUUCUUGGAAAUAAAGAAUCCAGCUUCAGGUCACGCAAGAAGCAAGUUGGGUCUAGACCUUGAACUUUGCUAUUCAGCAUGGCUGCUGGGACUGACGAGUCUCUUGGGCUUGAAGUUAAUCAAAUGAUGAUUAAGGUUGGUUGCUGAGGUGCUUAGAAAGUGGACACAGCUACUCCAGACUCUUCCAGCUUCAUCCCCCACAUCUGGAGCUGCUGGAAUUGUUCUGGAAGAUAAAUCUGAAGUGAAG